CCUGACUGCUAUCGGAUUGAUACUAAGCCAUGCGAGUCAUUGUAGCAAUACAAGGCAGACGGCUCAGUAACGCGUAGUCAAUCUACCCUAUGGACGGGAAUAACCUCGGGAAACUGAGAAUAAUGCCCGAUAGAACAUUAUGCCUGGAAUGGUUUAUGUUUCAAAUGAUUUAUCGCCAUAGGAUGGGACUGCGGCCUAUCAGUUUGUUGGUGAGGUAAUGGCCCACCAAGACUAUUACAGGUACGGGCUCUGAGAGGAGUAGCCCGGAGAUGGGUACUGAGACACGGACCCAGGCCCUAUGGGGCGCAGCAGGCGAGAAAACUUUGCAAUGUGCGAAAGCACGACAAGGUUAAUCCGAGUGGUUUCUGCUAAAGAAACCUUUUGUCAGUCCUAGAAACACUAACGAAUAAGGGGUGGGCAAGUUCUGGUGUCAGCCGCCGCGGUAAAACCAGCACCUCAAGUGGUCAGGAUGAUUAUUGGGCCUAAAGCAUCCGUAGCUCGUUUUGUAAGUUUUCGGUUAAAUCCAUGCGCUUAACGUAUGGGCUGCCGGGAAUACUGCAUAACUAGGAAGUGGGAGAGGUAGACGGUACUCGGUAGGAAGGGGUAAAAUCCUUUGAUCUAUUGAUGACCACCUGUGGCGAAGGCGGUCUACCAGAACACGUUCGACGGUGAGGGAUGAAAGCUGGGGGAGCAAACCGGAUUAGAUACCCGGGUAGUCCCAGCUGUAAACUAUGCAAACUCAGUGAUGCAUUG
rnacentral:rRNA from 1 species